UUAAGCAUAUCAAUAAGCGGAGGAAAAGAAACUAACAAGGAUUCCCCUAGUAACUGCGAGUGAAGAGGGAAAAGCUCAAAUUUAAAAUCUGGCAGCCUUGGCUGUCCGAGUUGUAAAUUAGAGAAGUGUUAUCCGCUCAAGCCUGUGCAAAAGUCUCUUGGAAAAGGGCAUCAUAGAGGGUGACAAUCCCGUCUUUGGCACAGAACACUUGCGCUUUUGUGAUGCGCUCUCGAUGAGUCGAGUUGUUUGGGAAUGCAGCUCUAAAUGGGUGGUAAAUUCCAUCUAAAGCUAAAUAUGGGCGAGAAACCGAUAGCGCACAAGUACCGUGAGGGAAAGAUGAAAAGCACUUUGAAAAGAGAGUUAAACAGUAUGUGAAAUUGUUGAAAGGGAAACGCUUGAAGUCAGUCUUAUCCUUCAGAAUCAACCUGACCAUUGGUUGGGCUUACUUUUUGUUGGAUGGGUCAGCAUCAAUUUUGAUCAUUGGAUAAAGGACUUGGGAAUGUGGCAUCUUUAGAUGUGUUAUAGCCCUUGUUUGUAUACAAUGAUUGGGAUUGAGGAACUCAGUGUGACUUUUGUUUGGGGGUAGAAAUACCUUACACACGCACUUAGGAUGCUGGCAAAAUGGCUUUAAUCGACCCGUCUUGAAACACGGACCAAGGAGUCUAACAUGCAUGCAAGUGUUUGGGUGGAAAACUCAAGCGCGCAAUGAAAGUGAAAGUUGAGAACCCUGUCGGGGGUGCAUCGACGCCCGGUCUUGACCUUUUGUGACAGACCUGCGGUAGAGCAUGUAUGUUGGGACCCGAAAGAUGGUGAACUAUGCCUGAAUAGGGUGAAGUCAGAGGAAACUCUGAUGGAAGCUCGUAGCGAUUCUGACGUGCAAAUCGAUCGUCAAAUUUGGGUAUAGGGGCGAAAGACUAAUCGAACCAUCUAGUAGCUGGUUCCCGCCGAAGUUUCCCUCAGGAUAGCAGACACUCAUUAAAUCAGAUUUAUGUGGUAAAGCGAAUGAUUAGAGGCC
rnacentral:rRNA from 1 species